rnacentral:rRNA from 1 species
UAGGGAAUCUUCGGCAAUGGGGGCAACCCUGACCGAACAACGCCGCGUGAGUGAAGAAGGUUUUCGGAUCGUAAAGCUCUGUUGUAAGUCAAGAACGAGUGUGAGAGUGGAAAGUUCACACUGUGACGGUAGCUUACCAGAAAGGGACGGCUAACUACGUGCCAGCAGCCGCGGUAAUACGUAGGUCCCGAGCGUUGUCCGGAUUUAUUGGGCGUAAAGCGAGCGCAGGCGGUUUGAUAAGUCUGAAGUUAAAGGCUGUGGCUCAACCAUAGUUCGCUUUGGAAACUGUCAAACUUGAGUGCAGAAGGGGAGAGUGGAAUUCCAUGUGUAGCGGUGAAAUGCGUAGAUAUAUGGAGGAACACCGGUGGCGAAAGCGGCUCUCUGGUCUGUAACUGACGCUGAGGCUCGAAAGCGUGGGGAGCGAACAGGAUUAGAUACCCUGGUAGUCCACGCCGUAAACGAUGAGUGCUAGGUGCUGGAUCCUUUCCGGGAUUCAGUGCCGCAGCUAACGCAUUAAGCACUCUGCCUGGGGAGUACGACCGCAAGGUUG